UACGUAGGGCGCAAGCGUUGUCCGGAAUUAUUGGGCGUAAAGAGCUCGUAGGCGGUUUGUCGCGUCUGCUGUGAAAACCUAAGGCUCAACCUUGGGCUUGCAGUGGGUACGGGCAGACUAGAGUGCGGUAGGGGUGACUGGAAUUCCUGGUGUAGCGGUGGAAUGCGCAGAUAUCAGGAGGAACACCGAUGGCGAAGGCAGGUCACUGGGCCGCAACUGACGCUGGAGGAGCGGAAAAGCAUA
rnacentral:rRNA from 1 species